AAAGAAUGUGUGAAAAUGUAUAGGUAUACCUGAGUCUUUACAAAAGAACCCACCAAAAAAAUAUGUAAACAAAACACUAUAGACAUGGAUCCUAUCUCUUUCAUUAUCUAAUUAAUGCAGACCCAAACAACCAAAGACAUCAGGAAGAGGAGUCUAGUUUUUAUUUUAAAACUUCAAAAAAUGAAGAUAUUAUAA